AAGGACGCACUUGAGAAAGCCAGAAGUGCAAAUAAUGGUAACCUACUGUUAAGGAACAAAAAAGUGACUUGGAAAGUACUAGAAGGACAUGCAGAAAAAGAUGCAAUGAAAAAAAUCACAGAUGAUCAACAAGAAUCUCUGAACAAAUGGAAGUCAAAAGGAGGUCAUGCAGCUCGCAGAUUUAAAGGAAGAGGGAAAGGUAAUAGACCUGCUUAUGCUGGGGCACCCAAAGGAAGAGGACAGUUUCAAGGAAGGAGGACAAGAUUUGAUGAUGAUGAUCAUCGUCGUGGACCAGUGAAAAGAGGAAGAGACGGAAGAGACAGAGAAGAACCCGCAUCAAAGCAUAAGAAAAGAGAGAAUGGUGCUAGAGACAAGUAGUUUAUUUAGUAAGCAGUGUUUUUAUUCCUUAGUUAGGUUUUAAGCUGCUUUUUGUCUUCAGAAGCUUUUAAAAAGAAAAGCGAAUUAGGUCCACUUCAAUGUCCACCUGUAUAAAAGGAAAAGUUUUUUGUUUUACUUGUCUUUUUGUUGUUAUCCAAAUGAAAGUUUUUUAAAAUGUAUAGUUCUGUUUGUGUUUGGAUGAUUAAAAUAUGAAAAGGAAGAUUCUUCCUCUUAAUUGCCUUUGUAAUAUGAGAAUGUAUUAGUACAGACUUGUAAAAUAUAUACUGUAUAAAAAUAGCCAAUAGUUC
rnacentral:lncRNA from 1 species